rnacentral:misc_RNA from 1 species
CAACCCUCGAACCCCGGUUUUCUUUAUGGAUCCCGGGGAUCGGUGUUGGGGCACUACGGAGGUCUUCUGACCACCGUAGGCUUCGAAAUACAGUGGCGGUCCCGUCGCGGCGCCCUCUGCGUAGUAAUUUUCACCUCGCAUUGGGUCCCGGCGAAGGCCAGCCGUCAAACCCUCUAUUUUCUAUG